UCCCUGCAGGACUAGUGGUUAGGCCACGGCGCUCCCGCCACUGCGGCUGGGCUUCGAUUCCCGGCCAGAGAA